GAUGAACGCUAGCGGCAGGCUUAACACAUGCAAGUCGAGGGGCAGCGGGGAGGAAGCUUGCUUUCUCCGCCGGCGACCGGCGCACGGGUGAGUAACACGUAUGCAACCUGCCCCUGUCAGGGGGACAACCCGCCGAAAGGCGGGCUAAACCCGCGUACAUGCCACCGGGGCAUCCCGGAGGCAGGAAAGGCUUCGGCCGGACAGGGAUGGGCAUGCGGCGCAUUAGGCAGUAGGCGGGGUAACGGCCCACCUAACCGACGAUGCGUAGGGGUUCUGAGAGGAAGGUCCCCCACACUGGUACUGAGACACGGACCAGACUCCUACGGGAGGCAGCAGUGAGGAAUAUUGGUCAAUGGUCGGGAGACUGAACCAGCCAAGCCGCGUGAGGGAGGAAGGUACAGAGUAUCGUAAACCUCUUUUGUCAGGGAACAAAGGCGGGGACGUGUCCCCGGAUGAGUGUACCUGAAGAAAAAGCAUCGGCUAACUCCGUGCCAGCAGCCGCGGUAAUACGGAGGAUGCGAGCGUUAUCCGGAUUUAUUGGGUUUAAAGGGUGCGCAGGCGGUCUGUUAAGUCAGCGGUCAAAGCCCGGGGCUCAACCCCGGCCCGCCGUUGAAACUGGCAGUCUCGAGUUGGAGAGAAGUAUGCGGAAUGCGCGGUGUAGCGGUGAAAUGCAUAGAUAUCGCGCAGAACUCCGAUUGCGAAGGCAGCAUGCCGGCUCCACACUGACGCUGAGGCACGAAAGCGUGGGUAUCGAACAGGAUUAGAUACCCUGGUAGUCCACGCAGUAAACGAUGAAUGCUGGCUGUCCGGGGGGAUUGACCCCUGGGUGGCGAAGCGAAAGCGAUAAGCAUUCCACCUGGGGAGUACGCCGGCAACGGUGAAACUCAAAGGAAUUGACGGGGGCCCGCACAAGCGGAGGAACAUGUGGUUUAAUUCGAUGAUACGCGAGGAACCUUACCCGGGCUCAAACGGGGAGUGACUCAGGCAGAGACGCCUGUUUCCCACGGGACACUCCCCGAGGUGCUGCAUGGUUGUCGUCAGCUCGUGCCGUGAGGUGUCGGCUUAAGUGCCAUAACGAGCGCAACCCCCGCGUGCAGUUGCUAACAGAUAACGCUGAGGACUCUGCACGGACUGCCGGCGCAAGCCGCGAGGAAGGCGGGGAUGACGUCAAAUCAGCACGGCCCUUACGUCCGGGGCGACACACGUGUUACAAUGGGUGGUACAGCGGGAAGCCAGGCGGCGACGCCGAGCGGAACCCGAAAUCCACUCUCAGUUCGGAUCGGAGUCUGCAACCCGACUCCGUGAAGCUGGAUUCGCUAGUAAUCGCGCAUCAGCCAUGGCGCGGU
rnacentral:rRNA from 1 species